rnacentral:rRNA from 1 species
AGUGAACGCUGGCGGUAGGCCUAACACAUGCAAGUCGAACGGCAGCACAGUAAGAGCUUGCUCUUACGGGUGGCGAGUGGCGGACGGGUGAGGAAUACAUCGGAAUCUACUUUUUCGUGGGGGAUAACGUAAGGAAACUUACGCUAAUACCGCAUACGACCUACGGGUGAAAGCAGGGGAUCUUCGGACCUUGCGCGAUUGAAUGAGCCGAUGGCGGAUUAGCUAGUUGGCGGGGUAAAGGCCCACCAAGGCGACGAUCCGUAGCUGGUCUGAGAGGAUGAUCAGCCACACUGGAACUGAGACACGGUCCAGACUCCUACGGGAGGCAGCAGUGGGGAAUAUUGGACAAUGGGCGCAAGCCUGAUCCAGCCAUACCGCGUGGGUGAAGAAGGCCUUCGGGUUGUAAAGCCCUUUUGUUGGGAAAGAAAAGCAGCAGGUUAAUACCCCGCUGUUCUGACGGUACCCAAAGAAUAAGCACCGGCUAACUUCGUG